UCCCUACAUCUCUCCCUUGUGAGAACUUCCCAUUUACACCCACCCUUUGCUUCCUGUUUCUCAACCAGUUUUUAAUCCACAGGAGGACUUCCCCUCUUAUUCCUUGAUUGCAGAGUUUUAUCAAUAGUCUCUGGUGAGGAACUUUUGUCAAAAGCCUUUUGGAAAUCCAAGUGAAGACAAUGUCCACU